UUCUACAACCAUACCACCCUGAAUGCACCCGAUCUUGUCUGAUCUCGGAAGCUAAGCAGGGUCAGGCCUGGUUAGUACUUGGAUGGGAAGAAGAAUUACUAAAGUGGUUUACA
rnacentral:rRNA from 1 species